GCCCGGGUGGUGAAAUUGGUAGACACAAGGGACUUAAAAUCCCUCGGUAUAUGAUACCGUGCCGGUUCGACUCCGGCCCUGGGCA
rnacentral:tRNA from 1 species